AUGCUAUCAGGUGGAUGGCUCGGCUCAAGAGCUGAUGAAGGACGUGCCAAGCUGCGAUAAGCCCGGGGUAGGCGCAAGGAGCCAAUGAACCCGGGAUCUCCGAAUGGGACCUCUCCAUAGUGAUCAGUAAUGAUCGGGAACGCUCCGAAUUGAAACAUCUCAGUAGGAGCAGGAAAAGAAAUCAAACGAGAUGCCGUAAGUAACGGCGAGUGAAACCGGCACAGUUCAAACCGAAUCCCCUUAGGGGAAAUGUGGUGUUGAAGGGCUGUUCAAACGUCUGGCGGCUAAACAGAACUUGCCUGAAACGGCAGACCAUAGAGUGUGACAGUCACGUAUGUGUAAACCAAAAGACCGGAACAUGUCCCUGAGUACCGUGCGUUGGAUAUCGCGCGGGAAUCUGGGGGGCACCAACCUCCAAAACUAAAUACUACUUGAGACCGAUAGCGAAAUAGUAGGGUGACCGAACGCUGAAAAGUACCCCGAGAAGGGAGGUGCAAAGUGCCUGAAACCUGAUAGUGAUGGAACGAUACGGCAUGAAAGGAUCUUUGGUACGAAGGAAACACUCGCGAGGGUGCUGUACGAGUAUCACUGCCAGUGUCGUAUCUUACGUUUUGAAGAACGGGCCAGGGAGUGUGUCUUGGUGGCAAUGGCUAACCUUAUAUUUGGGCAGCCGAAGCGAAAGCAACAUGUGCGCAACUCUUCUGAGCGAGGCACGACGUAUACAAGUGCGUGGAGUCACCGGGACACGACCCGAAGCCGGGUGAUCUAGGCGUGGGCAGGUUGAAGCGUGGCGAAAGCUACGUGGAGGACCGCAAGCGGUGUUGAUCUGCAAAUCAUUCGCGUGACCUGCGUCUCGUAGUGAAAUGCUAAUCUAACCCGGCAUCAGCUGGUUCCUUCCGAAACAUGUCGCAGCAUGACCUGACUGGAGAUCGUCUGUGGAGUAGAGCACUGAUUGGCGGUUCCGGGGGGGAAACCCCUCGCCCGCUUGUCAAACUCCAAACCCACCGUCGUCUGAGAAAGUCGGAGUCCGGACUGCUGGGGUAAGCUUGUAGUCCGUAAGGGAGACAACCCAGCCCGUGGUUAAGGUCCCCAAGUGUCGACUAAGUGUUAACACUAAAGGGCGUCCCAAGCCCAAGACAGCUGGAAGGUUAGCUUAGAAGCAGCUAUCCUUCAAAGAGUGCGUAACAGCUCACCAGUCGAGGUUUGGGGCCCCGAAAAUUGACGGGGCUCAAGUCGACCACCGAUACCACGGAGUACCGCAAGGUAAUCUUGUAGGAAGGCGUUGCGUUCGGACAGAAGCAGGGCUGUGAAGUCCUGUGGACCGUUCGCAAACGAAAAUCCUGGUAAUAGUAGCAGCAUAGAAGGGUGAGAAUCCCUUCCGCCGAAGGGGCCAGGUUUCCUCGGCAAUGUUCGUCAGCCGAGGGUUAGUCGGUCCUAAGACGUACCGUAACUCGAGUACGCCAAAAGGGAAACAGGUUAAUAUUCCUGUACCAUUUAGCACUCAUGUCUGACGUCUCAGGGCAGGCCGAGCGGAGUCGUCGCUCCGUCUAAGCAGCGAAACCCGUGGAGAGCCGUAAUGGCGAGAAGCGGGUGAAUCUGUUAUGGCUAAAGUCGGUUGCACCCAGGGACCCGUGAAAAGGCCGCUAAAUGUCCGUACCGAGAACUGACACAGGUGCCCCUGGCUGAAAAGGCCAAGGCGUGUCGGAGUAAUUCAGUUAAGGGAAUUCGGCAAAUUAGCUCCGUAACUUCGGGAGAAGGAGUGCCUGCUGUGAAGACAGCAGGUCGCAGUGACCAGGGGGCUCCAACUGUCUAAUACCAACAUAGGAGAUUGCAAACCUGUAAAGGCUAGUACAAUCUCUGAAUCCUGCUCAGUGCAGGUACCUGAAACCCCGGUUCAACGGGAAGAAGGGCCUGUAAACAGCGGGGGUAACUAUGACCCUCUUAAGGUAGCGUAGUCAUACGAGAUUCGCCUUAGUCUCGUGGGCUCGGAGAUGUGUAUAAGAGACAGCUCUUAAGGUAGCGUAGUACCUUGUCGCUUAAUUGGCGACUUGCAUGAAUGGAUCAAUGAGAGCCCUACUGUCCCUAACUGGAAUCCGGUGAAGCUUACAUUCUAGUGCACAGUCUAGAGACCUCUAGGGGGAAGUGAAGACCCCGUGGAGCUUUACUGCAGCCUGUCGCUGGGUUGUGGUUCUGGAUGUACAGAGUAGGUAGGAGGCGUCGAAGCGGUUGCGCCAGCAUCCGUGGAGCCAUCAAUGGGACACUACCCUUCUGGGACCGCGACCCUAACUCUGAGAAGAGGACCCCGAUAGGUGGGCAGUUUGCCUGGGGCGGGACGCCCUUGAAAAGAUAUCAAGGGCGCGCAAUGGUUGACUCAAGUGGGUCGGAAACUCACUGAAGAGUGCAAGAGCAUAAGUCAGCCUGACGUUAUUCAGCACCUGUCUCUUAUACACAUCUGACGCUGCCGACGAAGAGGAU
rnacentral:rRNA from 1 species